GUGUCGGUUGUUAGCAACGCUUAAACGCAACUCGUACCGCCGACUUUUUGUUAGCUUCCGUUUGCUUUUUUUUUUAUUUUGUUGGCUUCUUCCCUGCUCUUGGCUUUCCUGCUGCAUUCCGAACGGUGGCUUACGUGUUUUAAGAAGCUUGUAAAAGAACAAAAAAAAAAAACUUUUGGUGUAACUUUGAACUUUUUCUCUAUAGAGGAGUUUAGUUUAA